CUCCACCUUGCGCCUGAGGAUGAAAACAAUGUCCGAAAGCGGUGUGUAGCCUUCACCAUCUCCCUCACUAAUGAGUUGAGGGUGAGACUGCUGGACGACAUCGAAGCAUUGCAGUACAUGUCAGUUUUCAAUGUGGAGGAAACUCUAAAGCACAAUAAGAGCCCUGGAGAAAUAGAAAAAAAAGCCAAGCUCCUCGGCUACUCCCCUGCAGAGAUAGACAAGAUUGUCCAGCAAUGGCGUGCCAUCCAUCUUAGUAAAUGGAAUGAGACAAAAAACACACUGGGCUUCUGGAGUGAGAUUUGGAAGUUCAGGGAUGCAGCUGAUAUCAACUUGCCAUGGCUGCUGUGUCUGUGUUGUCCUUGCCACACUCAAAUGCUGAAGUCCAGAGAGUAUUCAGCCAGAUGAGUUUGGUAUCUCGUCACUGCUCUAUGCCACCUCUCUACAGAGGACGCCCCAAGGAAGGUGUUAAUCAACCUGUACACCCUGGCCCUCCUCGUGAACUUCCUAACCCAGGAAUGGGGCGACCUGCGGGGGAAAGGAAGGCAGCGUUAGCCCGGGAACCACAGUAUGGAGCCAGUCUGCUUGGCCCUGCUCAACUUUGCUGUCGUGGAGCCGUAGAAGGACCCUUGUUGCGGAAGCCUUGAGUCACUAUUGAGUGAAGCACUUCCUGUUCUCCUGCACAAACCCCGCCUCUUGAUCCUGGCGGCCAGUCUUUGUACUCUAGGGCUCAUGAUUGCCAGGCUUAAACCGGCUCCUAAAGCUCUGGUUGAAGCAGGCCAGAGGCGGUUCUUCUCCUCAGCCCUGUGGUUCCUCCGUGGUGCCCUGGACUCCAGCUCAGGCCUGGGCCCAGUUCGGGUGAGCCCUGCCCUGAGAGGAGUGGUGGGAGGAGGCAGGGGAGCUGUGGAGGCAUGGGCAAGGGCAAUCUGAGGAAAUCCCCUACCACAAACUGAUGCACUUGUGUAAUUAAUGGUCAUGAAGAUGAGGGCCAGGAGUUUUUCCUGAGCAGACCGCAUAUCCUGACCUGGAAAAACUCCUGGCCCUUCAGCAUCUAGAGACUAAGACAAAAUGGCAGAAUAUAUCAGUGUGUUCAGUAACGGGUUGUAUUUGCAUUGUCAUGCGCUUCCUGAUAAACAUUUGUUGUUUGUUAGAUGGUAUGACUGUAUAUAAGCAGUCUGUUACAUGUAUGAAAGUAAGUGAAGCAUAAAAUAAAUAGUUAUUUUGAUAAAUAUUUCAACUUAAAUGUUGAUUUUCAACAGAGACAUGAUAGUAUGUGCACAUUCAAA
rnacentral:lncRNA from 1 species